AAGGAAAAGUAGUCCUGCUCCCUGUAAAGCCACCCAAUCACUAUCCAUAUUGAGUUAGACGUUUGAACCAACUAUGUGGUGGCACCAAACACGUGUUCUAAAUUUCCACAGAAUAUAUAGUUUUGUGGGAGUUUACUUAAUUCAUUACUCUGCAACUUGUAACUCGUGCUAUUUCUUUCUUGUUCAUCAAAUAUCACUGUUUUACAAAACCAAUAAACACUUGUAUCAUUUGACCAUAAUUAGUUUUUAGUUUGAGAGACAAUUUAUUUGAUAUUAUUGUCCAGCGCAUAAGAAUAAAAAGGAUCAAUCAACUAUCACUCAUCAUCAAAUAUUGAUAUUAUAGUCCAUUAACGAAAACCACCUGAGAAGAAGUUUGCAAUUUCUUACGAAUAAUUGACCAGAUUUGGAUCCUCACCACCUCAUUGAAAGCUUGUUUAUGUUAGAGUGAUAAUACCUCUGGAAAUGUUUCCAUAUUCCUUUAGUAGGGUAUGCACAAGGAAUGUUGAAUUUCUGAAGAUAAAAAUACCCUGAAGUCUCCCAAAUUAUUCAUGGAAAAUAGGAGAUGUUCUUGCUGAAAUGAAUUUGAGCCUCAAGACCCCUAAUCCCCAACAAAAAAAAUCAAAAAGAAGGUUGAUACAACAGCAAAGCAUGCAUACAAUUGUGUGGAGCCUGCAAGCGGGAAGAAAUUGAACAUCACAAACACAACUAAAUUUACGCGUGUAGUAGUGGCCUUCGUCUCUUGAGGAUAUAUGAAGAGGUCACCGUCUCUAGGCAUGAUGCUGCAUAUUUAACCACAAAUAGAAUCCGCUGAAACUCAAUGUGGCCAAAUGGCGACAAGAUCUCCAAUUUACCAUCUGCAUUGCAUUCUCUAUUGUACUGUUCUAAUCUUACAGUGCCAGACAUCUCUGAAGUUAACUCGAUUCAGUAACUCCAUAGCCUGUCCUGUAAAGGUUGGGGAAGUUUAGUUUCCUAGAUUAUGACACCAUCCUUGGACUUAUACGUCUUUGGUUAUCUGGAAACUGGACAUGGGAAAUGCUUCAAGACAAGUCCUCCAGUCUUUCAAGUAGAAUGAAGGUUAUUAUCCAGUGUUGGUCCUGCCAGUGCAUGGUGCUGAGAAGGGUGGACCUAGUCUUCUGCAUUAUUUGCACGAAGUGACUGCCUUCAGACUUGAAUCCAUGUUCUCAUGCUUGGAAACUCAAAUGUUAAUGCUUCCAUCAAAGUAAUUUCUUGAUCCUCUCAAAUAGAAGGGGAGUAACUUACUAAGGAAUUAAAAAAGUAGUAUAGGGAAAUUACAUCAAAUUCUGUAAGAAGUAGUCAUCAAAUUCUGUAAGUAGUAGUUCAGGAAUUGGCUGGGCUCGUGUGCCUUACUCAGUUACAUAUGGCAUUACAGUAGCGUACAAUCUAUGCUGCAAUAGUAAUGAGACUUUCAUGAUUCUACAGUAUGUCAUACCUUAAUACAUUUGCAGUAUUUGUUUCAGUAAUUGCUUGUUUGCAUGAUCAGUGUCUGUAUGUGCAUAUGUUAUUUAUACAUCAGGUAACUUAUAUACAUAUGGAUGGAUUUUUUUAUGCAUGGUACAUGUGCUUGCAUUUUUGCAUUCACAUUGUUGUACAGAGAAAUAACCUGUUACUUUGGUGUCAGAUAAUGCCGAAGGGUCUGACAUUAUGUUGGAAGCGAUCUUGGAAGCAGAAGUGGCACGUAACGCGAAAGAUUUUUUUGCGCAGCACCAAAAUCAAAUAAAAUGUGAAUAGAAAGAAAUGACAUUAUGCAAAAAAAAUUGGCAUUCAAGCUCCCACACAUUUCUUCUGCAGUGAAUUGGAAUUGACGAAGCCUGUAAGUGAAGGUUGCAAAUUUCAGUCCUUGGGUUAGAAUGGAAAUGAUCAUUAAAAUUUGUUAAGCAUGAGUCGGAUGGGUAUGACUAGAUCCAUUCACUGCACAUCUAUGAUUUUAUAGGAACCAUAAAUCUGUAAUGGUUAUCAGACGUAAUCAGGUUGUUGGUGGCAUAACAUACCGUCUUUAUGUGAGCCAAAUGUUUGUGGAGAUAGCAUUUUGUGCAAUCACAGCAGAUGAACAAGUAAAAGGUUAUGGCACGAGACUGAUGAAUCACUUAAAGCAGCAUGCUCGUGACGUUGACAGGCUAACUCAUUUUCUGACUUACGCUGACAAUAAUGCCGUUGGUUAUUUCAUUAAACGGGAUUGGUCCUUUUUGUUCCCUUUUGGAUUGUGGUUUUCAUGUAUAUGGGGAUUUCACUUGUUCAGUUCACGAUCAAUUUGAGAGGCACAAAAAAGUUGUUUUAUAAGAUUUUGUUUGUAUAUUCUCAUUGUAAAGAUGGUAAGAUUAACACUGCAUGAAAUUUGCUCUGUUAAAAAGAUGAGAGGGAGUGUCUAUCUACAAACUACGAGGAAGCCUGCCUUCGAAAGUAAUUUGUGAAUCCAAAGCAUCACUGUCAGUUGACUGGGUUGGGCUAUUAGAUUGUCAUAACUUUUUAACUAU